ACCUUCGCUUUCUUCGCCGGCGC
rnacentral:siRNA from 1 species